rnacentral:misc_RNA from 1 species
AGUAAUUUUUAUUACGAUUAAAAUUCGAACAAAUGUCAAUUACAUUAUUUAAUGGUUUAUAAUGAUUUUUGAUAUUUACAUGUGAUAUGUUGUUCGCAGUGGACUUGCAUUGUUGUGCCCUUAUAAUAGAAAUAUGGAUUAAAUGACAUUGUUAAAACGCAUUUGAUCAAAUAAUAUUUUAUAAGUAAAAUGAGUGUUAAUUAUCCAUUACAUUAAAAUAUAACAAAAAUACUCCGUUGUUAUUUUUUUUUUCUUUUUAUCUCGAUAUAAUAUAAUUUUUAUUCUUUUAUAUAUGUAAUUAUGCAUAAAAGUCCAUAUGUACAGUAUAUUAACAACAAUAAUUAUAUUACGAAGUGUUAUAACAGUACAAUAAAAAUAUUAUAAUAAUAAACUGUGAAAUAUAGUAUAAAUGUAUGAAAAAUAAAAUAUCUGUAAAACAUUUAUCAAAAUUAACUCAUUAAAAGAAUCACAAAAAAUUUUACUAUAUCAUAUUGGAUUACAUAUUAUAUUAAUACAGGACACAGACCUUUUUUGUCCACUAACUUUUAAUUAUCAACCAAUACUUUCACAUUUUUUCAUAUUCUUUUUAAUAUUAAGUGGAAACUAAUUAUAAUGAGAAACAAAAUGCAAAAUAAAUGCAUAAUAUAUUUCUAGAGAGAACAAAGUUAUACCUUAUUUGUGACAAAUUGAAUAUUUUUCUUUAUUACAUUUAAAGUUAUAUUAUAUUUAUAUAAUAAGUUGCAUAUAAGUUAUAAGUCAUACUAUAUUUAAAAAGUUACGUACUAUUAUAUUAUAAUUCAACUAUUCCAUUACAUAUGAAUUUUAAUUUAAAAUUAAUUUAUAUUUAAAUGUUAGAAAUGUUCCGCACAGUGGCCUUCUUAAUUUAUUAAGACAUAUACCCCUUACAUAUAUCCCUUGCGGCGUAAAUCGAUGGUACUGCGUGAGAAAACAGCAAAUGUAAUGCGUGACAUUCUAACCGACCUUAUUAUUCAUAUACUAGUACUUCAUUAUUUUCUCGACAUUACUUCUCACAUAAUCGUGUAGAAAGCAGUUCAAAUAUUUAAUGUGUUUUGCCCCUCGCUUCUAAAAAGUUUCUGCAUACGCGAUGAGAAUGCUCUAUUAAAUGCGAGAUAACUUCGGUUCUUGCACGGAAAACAACCGUCAGUUUCUAGUAAACUUUCGAUAUGGAUGACUCGAACUACUCGGGACGAAAAGGUUUCGAAUGGGCAGUGAAAUUGAAUCGUACGAGUUUGAAUUUAAUUGGGGUAUGGCCUGAUCCGGAAGAAAAUUCCAGAGAAAAAUUAAUGAGCAAUAUACGUGUAAUCAUUACAUUUCUGGUGGUGAUAAGUUUAUUGGUGCCUUGUAUACACUCAUUGAUUAAAACUCAUUCUGAUAUUAUGCUGACAAUAGACAAUUUACAAAUUACGGUACCGGUAAUGAGCACCAUUAUAAAGCUUCCAAUAUUUUGGAGAAAAAAAAAAGCUCUCACAUCGAUCAUAAACAUGAUCGUCAAAGACUGGUUAAAGUCAAAAAACAUCCAGGAAAAGAAAAUGAUGAUAAAAUGGGCGCUACGUGCACGUAUAUUUAUGACAUGCUCAUAUAUAAUACUAGUAGUCGCACUCAUAAUUCUUUUUGUCAUACCUAUUUUCGAAAAUUCAAUGAGGAUGGCAUCAAAUAUCACUGAUUCACACAUAUCAUUGGCUAUACCAACUUAUUAUAUUUACGAUGUAACAAAAAGACCACAGUACGAAUUAACAAUUAUUAGCCAAUGCAUCUCUAUUACCACUACAUGCAUAAUUUAUAUAGGAAUUGACAAUUUUUUUGGAUUAUUAGUUUUUCAUAUUUGCGGACAAUUGAACAUCAUGAGGAAUCGUCUCACAUGUAAUCACGAUAAUUUUCGUACCGUAUUGAGAGCUACUGUGAUGUAUCAUAUUCGAUUGCUUAGAGUUAUAAAUACUAUAGAAGAUACAUACAACGUCAUUCUGUUAAUAUUAUUUCUGUAUUUUGGGAUAAUAUUUACUUUCUGUGGAUUCCUAUUAGUUGCUCUGUUUGAAGACGAAGGGAAUGAUAUAUCGUUUACGCGUUUAUCAUUUCUUUUCCUCACUAUUAUAUCCAUAACCACACAUAUGGGAAUUUAUUGCGCUGUUGAUGAAACGCUAAUGACCCAAUACAAUGGAAUUUAUCAUGCGGUGUACGAUUAUGAGUGGUAUUCUCUGGAUCCAAAAGAAGCAAAGGAUUUAAUCCCAUUUAUGAUUAAAAUUAGAGAUCCUGUUUAUUUCACUGCUGGAAAAAUAUUUCCUGUGACAAUGGCUAUGCUUUGCAAUGUGAUAAAGACAGCGGCCGGUUACAUAUCUGUUUUACUUACGUUAAGGAAAAACUAAAAAGUUAUGUAAGAUUAAAUUGUUUGUAGGUUUUUGCUAGAAUCACUGGUAUGCAAUAAUUAAAACGGAUUGGGACUUGCAGUUUGCUUUUAGAAUAGGAAUAUGAAAUAAACGACACUAUUAAAAUAAAAUACUUUGAUCAAAUAUCUAAUAUUAUAUACAUAUAUCUAUAGACAUUCUA